rnacentral:lncRNA from 1 species
AAAAGGAAUUGAAUAAAGGAAAAGAUAAUAAAGAGAGCCACACAGGGUGACGCUCCCACAGAUAUACACCUCACUUCUCUCACAAUCUCGCUCUGAAAAAAAGAAAACAUGACAAAAAAAAGAAAAGAAGAAAAUUUCUUCUUCAUCAAACUGUUCAUCACUUCCAUCGUCGGUAACAACCUUUGCUUCUCCUUUCCCUCACCGUCGCACCCCACAUCAAUCAAACCCACCGUUUCACUCC